AGUAUAUUAUGUAACAUAUAUAAAAUAUUUUAAAGAAAUUUAACAAUUAAUUUUUUUUAAUUCAUAUUCAGAUCAACACAGUUUUAGAUGUGUUACGUUUCAGACAUGUGAUACGAGCUACGUUUGAUAGUUUGGUUGUGCUAUGGACAACCUUUAGUUGUGGAGAAUUUAUGUGUCGCGAUCCUGAUUCUGUAAUGUGAUUGGCUGAGAGGCGGAAGGAGGCGGGGAUUAAGGCCAAAAGGCAAAGGCGCACAGGUACGAGGCGUUGGAGAGGUUUAGAAACCGUCAAUUAAGAAGAAGUGUGUAUUUUACCAUGUUUAUGGUGCUUUUAAUUACUGUUUUCUACCGACUAACACAGCAAUGCGGAAGAAAAUUAUCAAAAUGGAGAUCUCCGAGGGAGAACGUCUAGCUUCACCGCGACGGGCGGACGGCUCCUGGUUCAGUUCAGCAUCAUCACACAGAGUUUACCCCGUCCCUGCACGUGCCGCGUUGGACGCUGACCUUGACCUCUCCAAUGAUUGAAGAGCAGGAAGUUAAGGCUCACCGGCGUGACGUGAUGAUGCUGAACACCAAUAAAUCAUUACAAGCAGACAAUACUGAAGAAUGUUCUGACAACAGCAGCAGGGACUUAUGGAGACUUGAGCAGAGGCCCAGCAGGAUCAGAACCCAAGAAUGUCAGCGGUCCAGAAAGAAACUACUGCUGCAGGAAAUGCAGAAUAGACAGGAAGCACAAAGUGUUCACUGAUGGAGUUGCACUAAACAUGGUUGAAGCCUCUAGGAAAGACGAGACCGGGGAAGGUGUCGUUGUUGGACUGAAUGAAAGGCAGCGAGGCUGGAGGGGCGUCUCCUGGGGGAUGUUCAGCAUCAGGCUUCCCUCAAACCACAACACGUUCACCUGAUGUUGACAGAUUGCCGUCACCAUUGGCUGCCUUUUCCACGCUCCGGUUUCCCAGCAUGCUCCACUGAGGAUGCAGCCAGAAGUUGACCCAGAGGUUUCCUGGAGGCCUCGUCUGCGCCGGCGCUGGUUCUGGAGCGGAGCGUAAAAGCGGAUGUCGGUCCGUGUGACGCGUCUUCGCCCGUUUCACUCCGUCAACGCGGUUAAAGGCUCGUGUUUGUUCCGUGUCACUUCCCUCUGAGAGCUGUGACCGACUCCACCAGAUGAUGACGCUCAUGUUCCAACAAGCUUCAUGUCGCGUGACCCAGAUGAAAUGAUUGUUGACCAUGCAAUUAUGUUCUCUGUGUGACUUGUUUGUGUGCUGAAUUAGCAAACUGGAUUGGUAAAUGACCGUUAAAUGAAGCAGCAAAUUACUGUCUUUUCCAGUUGCCCACAUGAAUAUAGUCACACGCUGAGGCUGGAUUUGCACCUGUAAUUUCAUUUUUCCAGGUAUUUAUUUUUGACUCGGCCUUUAUUUGAAGUCGUGUGCGGCAGAUACACGUGUAGAGAUCAGAAUGAAGGGAGCUGCUGGGUUCUGGUCCGAGAGCCGAGGUAUCGAUCGACCUGCAGCACGCGUUUCACCAGUCGCUUAAAUAAAUAAGUCAUUUAAAGCGUGGUGAAGUUUCCA
ensembl:lncRNA